AGUGAACGCUGGCGGUAGGCCUAACACAUGCAAGUCGAACGGCAGCACAGUAAGAGCUUGCUCUUACGGUUGGCGAGUGGCGGACGGGUGAGGAAUACAUCGGAAUCUACUUUUUCGUGGGUGAUAACGUAGGGAAACUUACGCUAAUACCGCAUACGACCUACGAGUGAACGCAGGGGAUCUUCGGACCUUGCGCGAUUGAAUGAGCCGAUGUCGGAUUAGCUAGUUGGCGGGGUAAAGGCCCACCAAGGCGACGAUCCGUAGCUGGUCUGAGAGGAUGAUCCGCCACACUGGAACUGAGACACGGUCCAGACUCCUACGGGAGGCAGCAGUGGGGAAUCUUGCACAAUGGGCGAAAGCCUGAUCCAGCCAUACCGCGUGGGUGAAGAAGGCCUUCGGGUUGUAAAGCCCUUUUGUUGGGAAAGAAAAGCAGCAGGUUAAUCCCCCGCUGUUCUGACGGUACCCAACGAAUAAGCACCGGCUAACUUCGUG
rnacentral:rRNA from 1 species